AUUGAACGCUGGCGGCAGGCCUAACACAUGCAAGUCGAGCGGAUGAAGGGAGCUUGCUCCUGGAUUCAGCGGCGGACGGGUGAGUAAUGCCUAGGAAUCUGCCUGGUAGUGGGGGAUAACGUCCGGAAACGGGCGCUAAUACCGCAUACGUCCUGAGGGAGAAAGUGGGGGAUCUUCGGACCUCACGCUAUCAGAUGAGCCUAGGUCGGAUUAGCUAGUUGGUGGGGUAAAGGCCUACCAAGGCGACGAUCCGUAACUGGUCUGAGAGGAUGAUCAGUCACACUGGAACUGAGACACGGUCCAGACUCCUACGGGAGGCAGCAGUGGGGAAUAUUGGACAAUGGGCGAAAGCCUGAUCCAGCCAUGCCGCGUGUGUGAAGAAGGUCUUCGGAUUGUAAAGCACUUUAAGUUGGGAGGAAGGGCAGUAAGUUAAUACCUUGCUGUUUUGACGUUACCAACGAAUAAGCACCGAAUUAC
rnacentral:rRNA from 1 species